rnacentral:rRNA from 1 species
CCUACGGGUGGCAGCAGUGAGGAAUAUUGGUCAAUGGGCUUACGCCUGAACCAGCCAAGUCGCGUGAGGGAAGACUGCCCUAUGGGUUGUAAACCUCUUUUGUCAGGGAGCAACGCCGGCUACGUGUAGCCGGACUGAGAGUACCUGAAGAAAAAGCAUCGGCUAACUCCGUGCCAGCAGCCGCGGUAAUACGGAGGAUGCGAGCGUUAUCCGGAUUUACUGGGUGUAAAGGGCGAGUAGGCGGGAUUGCAAGUCAGAUGUGAAAACUAUGGGCUCAACCGAUAGAGUGCAUUUGAAACUGCAGUUCUUGAGUGAUGGAGAGGCAGGCGGAAUUCCCGGUGUAGCGGUGGAAUGCGUAGAUAUCGGGAGGAACACCAGUGGCGAAGGCGGCCUGCUGGACAUUAACUGACGCUGAGGCGCGAAAGCGUGGGGAGCAAACAGGAUUAGAUACCCCUGUAGUC